GGCCUCGUAGUUCAAUGGAUAGAACGGAAGUUUCCUAAACUUUAAAUACAGGUUCGAUCCCUGUCGAGGCUA
rnacentral:tRNA from 1 species